GAAACCGGAGCUUGGAGAGCUUUCCGGAAAAGUACAAUACGGCGAGAGAAUAAAGGUAAAACCCUAAUCUAGCUGCCGAGUGUAUGUGAGUGAUUUCGGAUCCUUUUUACGUCGCAUCCCUUUCUCUUUAUAUAGUCGACUUGGUGCUCUUCCGUGACCUAGCACGCGUCGUCUUUGUAGGGUUUUAACUCGUUGUGCCGAGAAGACCAUGUUGCUUCGGAAAGCCGUUAAGCCGUAUGCGCCUAGUCGAUGUGCGAUCGACCAAAAGCACUCUUGGAUCGCGCCGAGGAGCCGGUGCUCCGAGCCGUCGAACCGAACUAUCGUUAUGUCUUAUGCGGGCCGUGCCGUCUAUUCUCCGGGUCUUGAGGGAUAGUCAAAUCCAGCCCCUACUUUCGUCCUGCUGAAGAAGUGGAAGUGGGACACUAAUUGCACGUGAAUUUUGGCGUUCCAGAGUUUCCUUUGCAUUAAGGCUAGGGUCCGGGCAUGUGACGGAACCGUGGUUGCUGUUAUCGUAGAUUAGAGCAAAGCGUGAUGGUAUAAUGGACAUACGGGAUCCAGAUCAUAAUGAUGGCCUUUUAAUAGACGUGGAAGGCCUAUUAUUAUAUUUCUUCAAGAUGAUUAUGAGGGGAAAAUAAGUUUUUUUAUCUAUACUAGAGAUUUUUUCCGCGUUUCGCGCGGAUUUUGUUUUAUAAAUUUAUUUUAUUUAUAAUAUUAUUUGUCGGUUUUUUUCUUUUACAUUAACUUCUUGUUUUUUCAAUGUUAGUUUUUCUUAAUUUAAAUUUAUAUAUUUAUAAUUUUUUAUUUUUCUUGUUGUAGAUGGAGAAUUAUAUUUUUUACUGAUGGUUUUUUGUAUGUGACAUAAACUUUUUGAAAUUUUAAAAUAAUGUUAUAUAUAGUACGAUUAACACAUUAAAGAAGAAAAACAUAUUCAGGCACAUUUUACACAUGUUUUAUAUGCAUAAUUUUAAACAUUAUAUAUGUAUAUAUUAUAAGUUUGAAACAUGUAAAUGCUUUCUAGAGCUAAAUACUUGUUCUGAGUUUACAUAAUUUAUCGAAAGUUUUAUCUCUUUUU
rnacentral:lncRNA from 1 species